rnacentral:rRNA from 1 species
UACGGAGGGGGCUAGCGUUGUUCGGAAUUACUGGGCGUAAAGCGCGCGUAGGCGGCUUUGUAAGUUAGAGGUGAAAGCCCGGGGCUCAACUCCGGAAUUGCCUUUAAGACUGCAUCGCUAGAAUUGUGGAGAGGUAAGUGGAAUUCCGAGUGUAGAGGUGAAAUUCGUAGAUAUUCGGAAGAACACCAGUGGCGAAGGCGAC